UGAACCUCAGGUUAGAAGCCGAAUAUAUGAUCAACAUAUACGCAUAUGAUAUACGUCAAAUAAUUUGACGUAUUUCAGAAUGUAUUUAUUUCUUCUCAAUAUACUGUAUAUAUUGUGUAAGUAUACUGAAGGAGAUCACUUAGACUUAAGCGGAAAAUGGAUAUUACAAAACCGCAAUGGAAGUAUAGUUGUCAAUGAAGCCUUAGUUCCUGGCUACGUUCAUACGGCUCUUUUGAAGGCCAAUGUCAUUCACGACCCUUAUUUUCGGAAUAAUGAUGAGGUAUAUCGAUGGAUUGAUUACGAUGAUUGGACAUACUCAAAGACAUUUGAUUGUGAG